ACGAGCCGCUGGCGGCGUGCCUAAUACAUGCAAGUCGAGCGGACAGAUGGGAGCUUGCUCCCUGAUGUUAGCGGCGGACGGGUGAGUAACACGUGGGUAACCUGCCUGUAAGACUGGGAUAACUCCGGGAAACCGGGGCUAAUACCGGAUGCUUGUUUGAACCGCAUGGUUCAAACAUAAAAGGUGGCUUCGGCUACCACUUACAGAUGGACCCGCGGCGCAUUAGCUAGUUGGUGAGGUAAUGGCUCACCAAGGCAACGAUGCGUAGCCGACCUGAGAGGGUGAUCGGCCACACUGGGACUGAGACACGGCCCAGACUCCUACGGGAGGCAGCAGUAGGGAAUCUUCCGCAAUGGACGAAAGUCUGACGGAGCAACGCCGCGUGAGUGAUGAAGGUUUUCGGAUCGUAAAGCUCUGUUGUUAGGGAAGAACAAGUACCGUUCGAAUAGGGCGGUACCUUGACGGUACCUAACCAGAAAGCCACGGCUAACUACGUGCCAGCAGCCGCGGUAAUA
rnacentral:rRNA from 1 species